UACGGAAGGCAGCAGUGGGGAAUAUUGCACAAUGGGCGCAAGCCUGAUGCAGCCAUGCCGCGUGUAUGAAGAAGGCCUUCGGGUUGUAAAGUACUUUUAGUCGUGAGGAAGGUGUUAAGGUUAAUAACCUUAGCAAUUGACGUUAGCGACAGAAGAAGCACCGGCUAACUCCGUGCCAGCAGCCGCGGUAAUACGGAGGGUGCGAGCGUUAAUCGGAAUUACUGGGCGUAAAGGGCACGCAGGCGGUUAAUUAAGUUGGAUGUGAAAUCCCCGGGCUUAACCUGGGAAUGGCAUUCAAGACUGGUUAGCUAGAGUCUUGUAGAGGGGGUAGAAUUCCAUGUGUAGCGGUGAAAUGCGUAGAGAUGUGGAGGAAUACCGGUGGCGAAGGCGGCCCCUGGGACAAAGGACUGACGCUCAUGUGCGAAAGCGUGGGGAGCAAACAGGGAUUAGAUACC
rnacentral:rRNA from 1 species